AACGAACGCUGGCGGCGUGUUUAAGACAUGCAAGUCGCACGGGACUAUUUGAGUAGCAAUACAAGGAUAGUUUAGUGGCGCACGGGUGAGUAACACGUGAAUUACAUGCCCUGCAGAGGGGGAUAGCCCAGGGAAACUUGGAUUAAUACCCCAUGGUAUCGCGAGAUUAAAGGUGGCAGCAAGGCUGUCGCUGCAGGAUUGGUUCGCGCCCUAUCAGCUCGUUGGUGAGGUAACGGCUCACCAAGGCUACGACGGGUACCUGGUCUGAGGGGACGAUCAGGCACACUGGAACUGAGACACGGUCCAGACACCUACGGGUGGCAGCAGUCGAGAAUAAUUCACAAUGGGGGCAACCCUGAUGGUGCAACGCCGCGUGGAGGAUGAAGGUCUUCGGAUUGUAAACUCCUGUCAUCCGGGAGUAAGACCUGGCGAUGAAUAGUCGACAGGGUUGAUAGUACCGGAAGAGGAAGGGACGGCUAACUUCGUGCCAGCCGCCGCUGUAA
rnacentral:rRNA from 1 species